CUUGUUUCCCUAUAUCGUAUCUAUAUAUUUUUGCUUAAUAAUAUGGACGUUUUAUGGAUGUUAACAAAAUUCGAAACAGAAACGAUUUCCAUUUGCAACUGGUUUCAUACUGAAAAGGAUUAAGCAAUAGAUUGAAGAGAAAAAUCUUAAUCUUAAUCACCACUUUUGAAAACAUUGUUGUAAAUUCUCGCUCUCAACACACACAAUUUAAUCAACGCUAUCUUCACCCAAUCAAUUUCAUGUAGGCAGGUAAUACGUGAUGGAUUGUUGACCACAUUUCUGGAAAAGAUUUAAAAAAAAUUGUAAAACGUCACAAAUCAUCAUAGUACCUAAAGGGUUAACUUAAUUUUCCUCUUUUCACAACCUCAAUCUUUCGCCGGCUACAUGACGUGGCAAAACCAAUUGUAUGACAUACCAAAAAGCUAAUGCUUAAAGACCUAAUGCAAUUGCACAAAUUAUUCUUGAUAAAAAGUCAUGCAUAGAUGCGAGAGGACUCUUUACUCCUAUCAUAACCAUUUCAUUUUAUUGGCAAAGAAAUGCUAUAAAUACGCUUUUACCAGCAGCGAUGACCACUACUCUGAUGGCAUUGCGUAGGGAGCCACUCUUGGAAGUGGCAAAUCCAAGAGUUAUCAUGAGUAGGUACAUGAUAACCAUAAGGAAGGAAAUCAAUUUAGCCGACGCUAGAAUGUAAAUGACUUGUAUUUGUACUAUUUCGUACAAUACCGUUAUACCAACUUAUGAAAUCAACUCAAUUAAUUUUCCGCACGAUUCAUCCAUAGUGAACAGAAAUUCAGAAAAAAAGUGAUUUAGCAGCACUGG